rnacentral:rRNA from 1 species
GAUGAACACUGGCGGCGUGCCUAAUACAUGCAAGUCGAGCGAACAGACGAGGAGCUUGCUCCUCUGACGUUAGCGGCGGACGGGUGAGUAACACGUGGAUAACCUACCUAUAAGACUGGGAUAACUUCGGGAAACCGGAGCUAAUGCCGGAUAAUAUAUUGAACCGCAUGGUUCAAUAGUGAAAGACGGUUUUGCUGUCACUUAUAGAUGGAUCCGCGCCGCAUUAGCUAGUUGGUAAGGUAACGGCUUACCAAGGCAACGAUGCGUAGCCGACCUGAGAGGGUGAUCGGCCACACUGGAACUGAGACACGGUCCAGACUCCUACGGGAGGCAGCAGUAGGGAAUCUUCCGCAAUGGGCGAAAGCUUGACGGAGCAACGCCGCGUGAGUGAUGAAGGUCUUCGGAUCGUAAAACUCUGUUAUUAGGGAAGAACAAAUGUGUAAGUAACUAUGCACGUCUUGACGGUACCUAAUCAGAAAGCCACGGCUAACUACGUG